AAUCUGGCACCUUCGGUGUCCGAGUUGUAAUUUGAAGAAGGUAUCUUUGGUUUUGGCUCUUGUCUAUGUUCCUUGGAACAGGACGUCACAGAGGGUGAGAAUCCCGUGCGAUGAGAUGCCCAAUUCCAUGUAAAGUUCCUUCGACGAGUCGAGUUGUUUGGGAAUGCAGCUCUAAGUGGGUGGUAAAUUCCAUCUAAAGCUAAAUAUUGGCGAGAGACCGAUAGCGAACAAGUACUGUGAAGGAAAGAUGAAAAGAACUUUGAAAAGAGAGUGAAAAAGUACGUGAAAUUGUUGAAAGGGAAGGGCUUGAGAUUAGACUUGGAAUUUUCCAUUUAUGGAGCUUUCCGGGCCAGCAUCAGUUUGGAUGGCAGGAUAAUUGCGUUGGAAAGUAGCACCACUUCGGUGGUGUGUUAUAGACUUCGUCGAUACUGCCUAUCUAGACUGAGGACCGCGUCUUUGACUAGGAUGCUG
rnacentral:rRNA from 1 species